UACAGAGGUCUCAAGCGUUGUUCGGAUUCAUUGGGCGUAAAGGGUGCGUAGGCGGCGCGGUAAGUCGGCUGUGAAAUCUCGGAGCUUAACUCCGAAACUGCAUUCGAUACUGCCGUGCUUGAGGACUGGAGAGGAGACUGGAAUUUACGGUGUAGCGGUGAAAUGCGUAGAUAUCGUAAGGAAGACCAGUGGCGAAGGCGGGUCUCUGGACAGUUCCUGACGCUGAGGCACGAAGGCCAGGGGAGCAAACGGG
rnacentral:rRNA from 1 species